rnacentral:lncRNA from 1 species
GGUUAUUUGUUUUUGUUGUUGUUGUUUCUUUCUUUCUUUCUUUGGUGUUAAGUUUUUUGAGUUCUUUAUAUAUCCUAGAGACUAAUGCUUUAUUGGAGGUACAUGUGGUAAAGAUUUCUCCCAAUCUGUAUGCUCUCUCUUCACAUUAUUGAUUGUUUCCCCUGCUAAGAAGAAGCUUUUUAAUUCAAAUCCAUCCAAUUUAUUGAUUCCUGAUUUUAUUUCUUCAGCUUUAGGGGUCUUGUUAAGGAAGUCAAGUCCUAAGGCAGCAUGGCAAAGAUUUGGACCUACUUUUUCUUCUGUUAGGCCCAGGGUCUCUGUUCUAGUGCCUAAGUGUUUGAUCCACUUUGAGUUGAUUUUUGUGCAGGGUGAGAGAUACAGGUUUAAUUUCACUUUGCUACAUAUGGAUUUCCAGUUUUGCCAGCACCAUGUGUUGAACAUCAUUUCUCCAGUGAAUGUUUUUGGCACUUUUGUCUAGUAUGAGAUAACUGUAUUUUUGUGGGUUUGUCUCUGUGUCUACUAUUCUGUAUCAUUGGUCUACAAGUCUAUUUUGGUGCCAAUACCAUGCCAUUUUUGUUACUGUGUAUAGUUUAAAUUCUGGUAUUGUGAUGCCUCCUGCUUCACUUUUCAUGCUAAGGAUUGCGUUAGCUAUUCUGGGUCUCUUAUUUUUCCAAAUAAAUUUCAUGAUUGCUUUUA